GGCCUGAUAGCUCAACUGGUAGAGCACUGCACUGGCAUUGCAGAGAACGGGAUUUGAAUUCCAUUCAGACCU
rnacentral:tRNA from 1 species